rnacentral:rRNA from 1 species
UUAAGCCAUGCAUGUGUAAGCAUGAAUCAUUUAAUGGUGAAGCCGCGAAUGGCUCAUUACAACAGCCAUAGUUUAUUAGAUUUCUUUUUUACUUGGAUAACUGUGGUAAUUCUAGAGCUAAUACACGCAGCAAAGCUCCGACCUUACGGAAGGAGCGCAUUUAUUAGAACAAAACCAAUCGUACUUCGGUACGUCACUUGGUGAAUCUGAAUAACUUUGUCGAUCGCAUGGUCUUUCGUACCGGCGACGCAUCUUUCAAGUGUCUGCUCUAUCAACUUUCGAUGGUAGUUUAUGCGCCUACCAUGGUUGUAACGGGUAACGGAGAAUCAGGGUUUGAUUCCGGAGAGGGAGCCUGAGAAAUGGCUACCACAUCCAAGGAAGGCAGCAGGCACGCAAAUUACCCACUCCCGGCUCGGGGAGGUAGUGACGAAAAAUAACGAGGUAGUCUUCUACGAAGCCUACCAUCGGAAUGGGUACAAUUUAAACCUUUUAACGAGGAUCUAUUGGAGGGCAAGUCUGGUGCCAGCAGCCGCGGUAAUUCCAGCUCCAAUAGCGUAUAUUAAAAUUGUUGCGGUUAAAAAGCUCGUAGUUGGAUCUGCGGUUCAGGAGAGCGGUCCCCCAGUGGGUGUGUACUGCUUUUUCCUGACCUAAUUCUUCUGGUUUGCUCUUGUUGCUCUUGACUGAGUGGCUUGGGUGGCUAGAACUUUUACUUUGAAAAAUUAGAGUGCUCAAAGCAGACGAAUUGUCUGAAUAGUGGUGCAUGGGAUAAUGAAAUAAGACCUCGGUUUUAUUUUGGUGGGUUUAAGAGCUCGAGGUAAUGAUUAGUAGGAACAGAACGGGGGCAUUCGUAUUGCGACCUUAGAGGUGAAAUCUUGGAUCGUCCCACGACGGGACUACUGGCAAAGCAUUUUGCAAGAAAGGUUUCUUUAAUCCAAAAGAAAGUCAAAAGGAACAAAAGGAAUCAAAAACCGGCCCGAUUCUGACCGUAAACGAUGCCAACUAGCGAUCCACAGAAGUUAAACUUUCGACUCUGUGGGCAGCUUCCGGGAAACCAAAGUUUUUGGGUUCCGGGGGAAGUAUGGUUGCAAAGCUGAAACUUAAAGGAAUUGACGGAAGGGCACCACCAGGCGUGGAGCCUGCGGCUUAAUUUGACUCAACGCGGGAAAACUCACCCGGCCCGGACACCGUAAGGAUUGACAGAUUGAUAGCUCUUUCUUGAUUCGGUGGGUGGUGGUGCAUGGCCGUUCUUAGUUGGUGGAGUGAUUUGUCUGGUUAAUUCCGAUAACGAACGAGACUCUAGCCUACUAACUAGACAGUAGAUUUAGUUGUCUACUGCGCUUCUUAAAGGGGCAAGUGGCGUCUAGCCACACGAAAUUGAGCAAUAACAGGUCUGUGAUGCCCUUAGAUGUCCGGGGCUGCACGCGCGCUACAAUGAAGGAAUCAACGUGCUUAUUAUCCUGGUCUGAAAAGAUUGGGUAACCGUUGAAACUCCUUCGUGCUUGGGAUUGGGACUUGUAAUUAUUUCCCAUGAACGAGGAAUGCCUAGUAAAUGUGGGUCAUCAUCUCGCGUUGAUUACGUCCCUGCCCUUUGUACACACCGCCCGUCGCUAUAACGGAGUGAAUGAUUUAGUGAGGCAUUUGGACUGGACCCGCUGAGGCUUAACGGCCUCGACGGGUCUGGAAAGAAUACCGAACUUGAUUAUUUCGACGAUAUAAAAGUCGUAACAAGGUUUCCGUAGGGAACC